rnacentral:rRNA from 1 species
AUUGAACGCUGGCGGCAUGCUUUACACAUGCAAGUCGAACGGCAGCGCGGGCUUCGGCCUGGCGGCGAGUGGCGAACGGGUGAGUAAUGCAUCGGAACGUGCCCAGUAGUGGGGGAUAGCCCGGCGAAAGCCGGAUUAAUACCGCAUACGACCUGAGGGUGAACGCGGGGGACCGAAAGGCCUCGCGCUCUUGGAGCGGCCGAUGUCGGAUUAGCUAGUUGGGGGGGUAAAGGCUUACCAAGGCGACGAUCCGUAGCUGGUCUGAGAGGACGACCAGCCACACUGGAACUGAGACACGGCCCAGACUCCUACGGGAGGCAGCAGUGGGGAAUUUUGGACAAUGGGGGCAAGCCUGAUCCAGCCAUGCCGCGUGCGGGAAGAAGGCCUUCGGGUUGUAAACCGCUUUUGUUCGGGAAGAAAUCCUCUGGGCUAAUACCCCGGGGGGAUGACGGUACCGGAAGAAUAAGCACCGGCUAACUACGUG